rnacentral:lncRNA from 1 species
AGACACCUUCCGAGCCGGCACAUUUCGUACAGACACGUACCGAGACGCACAGAUCCCUUAGCCCACACUGCAGACGUCAUCAGCCCCCACAGCCCCACUGCCAGCCCGCGGGCCCCCCAGGCACAGCACAGCACACGUCCCACGCCACCGCCAAGCGAGGGCCCCUGGAGCGUGGGGACGAUGCCAGAACUGGUCGAGAAUGGAGGGGCAAUACCAUCCCACUGACAUCACCGGCCAGCUCAACCUCUCCGACCCCUCCGUCAGCACUGUGGUGUGACCUUCUCCCCAAGGGCCAUCAGUCCUUACCCGGCACAGUAGGAAGGCACAGCCAGGACUGCCUCUCAAGGGACACUGAUGGGUUCUUCAGGGCCUGCUGCCAUACUCACGCCCCAAAAUGCACGGCAGAACCAGGACAGGGUUUGGACUUCACUGUACAGAGAUAACCGCUCCCAACCAGUGCUGUUGUUGAUCAGUAUUGCCACUGACUGGCUGCGUGCGAGGGGAAAGGACUUGGAAGGCACGUGGUGCCUGCUGUCCUGCAGUGGUAGGGAAGAGCCGUUGUCGGGCUGCAGCCACGUUUGGCUUUGCAGGCUCUGGGUUCUCUCAGAUCCCAGCGAUGUUCUCGUGGAGCGGCCAAGGACUGCUGCCAUGCAGAGAUCUGCCACCAGCACAGCAGGGCUGGGAGAUGUGCACGCUUCUCGUGGCCAGGGGAUGAGCGCCCGUUCCCCUCCAUCAGCCCCUCUCAGUGCCCGUGGUAUGACCAAACGUGGUGCUCUGGAACUCCUAGCCAGGAUUCUGGCUUCCCAUAUCUGCACACAAGGCAUCCCCAAGGCCUGGCCGUGGCCAGCACGUAACUUUCACACUGUAGCUGACCUGACCAGGAGACAAACAAGGGAAAUCGAGUGCCAGCUCAGCAAAGGGCGAUUAAACAAGACUGCUCAGAGCUAUUCCUCCCUAUGCACCGAGCUUCUACAGGCAGGUGUUUCAAGCAGCCGUGGGCACUCCAACGCCCAGGAAACACCAUCCAGGUUGGGAUGA